AAUGAAGUGUCUGAAUAAAGAAUUAUUUUGAUAGAAUAAAAAAUGUGACCAUAUCACCUUCAUUA
rnacentral:tRNA from 1 species